ACCCAAAAAUAAAUAUGACAAAUUUGACAAAGGGUUGGUGAAUUGUUUCAACCCAUAAUUUUGGUGUUGAAAUUCCUUGGUGUUAAGGACCGACUGUCCUUGGAGACCUUUCAGAAUAGAGAAGAAGAUAACGGAAGCAAUAGAGGUAGGACUAGGUGUUGGUGCAUCGGUGGCGGAGACAAUGGCCGGGAAAGUGGUCGGCGACGAUGGCCGGAGACGGUGGCAGUGGCCGCUGGUGAUGGCAGACGGCCAAUGAUGGUGGCCGGCGGCAGUGGACAACUGGCAGGUGACGGCUGGUGGCGAGACAACAGGCAGUGGCGGACGGACAGGAAUGACAGAGUAUAAAGACACAUAUUGAAAAAGAGACUUUUUAGGGAGCACCAAUGGCGGCGACAGCAACAAAGACAAAGUAUAAAAGUAGAAUAGAUCAUAAAUUCUCCUCUGAUACCAAGUUGAAUAUAACCAAGUUGAAUAUAAUGAAAACUCCCUUUGUGUUAAAUAUAUACCACAAAUAUAUACGUAGAGAGUCCUCUGUUUUAGAAGAAAAAUGGGUUAUACCCAAAAUACAAAUAAAAAAUAUAAAGACAUAGCUUGAUUUAAUAUGAAUAUAAUGAAAACUCCCUUUGUGUUAAAUAUAUACGUAGAGAGUCCUCUCUGUUUUAGAAGAAAAAUGGGCUAUACCCUAAAUACAAAUAAAAAAUAUAAAUACAAAUAAAAAAUAUAAAGACAUAGCUUGAUUUAAUAUCAGUCAUAAUCAAACAACCAAAGGUUGCACCACACAACGAACCAUUCUCCUAGUCAUAAUUUUUCACUAGCCAAAAUCCACGUGAAACAACCAGAAUAAACAAUUGAAAGUUUCUUUGCAAACUCCCUCUUUCUCACACAUUUCAUAAUUCAGAACCCAAAAAAAAAAGAAAACUAACCUUAACGGAGCCACACAG
rnacentral:lncRNA from 1 species